UACGAAGGGGGCUGGCGUUGCUCGGAAUCACUGGGCGUAAAGGGUGCGUAGGCGGGUCUUUAAGUCAGGGGUGAAAUCCUGGAGCUCAACUCCAGAACUGCCUUUGAUACUGAGGAUCUUGAGGUCGGGAGAGGUGAGUGGAACUGCGAGUGUAGAGGUGAAAUUCGUAGAUAUUCGCAAGAACACCAGUGGCGAAGGCGGCUCACUGGCCCGAUACUGACGCUGAGGCACGAAAGCGUGGGGAGCAAACAGG
rnacentral:rRNA from 1 species